CUUUCAGAAAGAGAUACAUUAUAACUGGCCAAAAUGCAGAAAAGGAAUGCCAUGCCGGGCUAUGCUCAGUGGGAUAGCUGCACGGAUACUCACCCGCCCCCACCCCAAGGCUGGGGAACAUCCUGAAGAGGGGGUGGGUCCUGGUAGUGACAUGGUCACAGCACUCGGGAACUCCCUGCAGCUAUAAGAGCAAGCCAACAAGGCAGAAAAGGAUCCAGAACAGGGUGAGCUGUGAGAUGCAGGGACUGAAGCCAUCUAGAGAAAAGGACCACCUGUGGCCUCUGGAGGGGGGGCGGGGUGAGAAAAGAAAAACAAACCAGCCAGUCAGAGCGACCUGGAGGCCAACUGGAACCGGGCUAGCAACUCAAACCUUCUGCACCAAAUGGCGGAACAAUGGCCCCUAUUUAUGCACAGCACCAAAGGCUCCUUGCAUCAGAAGGCACCUUCGAAUAAGCCGGCAGCUAAUUCUCCUGGUAGCAGAAAUCCACUCUCACAG
rnacentral:lncRNA from 1 species